UACGUAGGGGGCAAGCGUUGUCCGGAUUUACUGGGCGUAAAGAGCGUGUAGGCGGCCAAGCAGGUCCGUUGUGAAAACUGGAGGCUCAACCUCCAGACGUCGACGGAAACCGCGUGGCUAGAGUCCGGAAGAGGAGAGUGGAAUUCCUGGUGUAGCGGUGAAAUGCGCAGAUAUCAGGAAGAACACCAAUGGCGAAGGCAGCUCUCUGGGACGGUACUGACACUGAGACGCGAAAGCGUGGGGAGCGAACAGG
rnacentral:rRNA from 1 species